UACAGAGGUCUCAAGCGUUGUUCGGAUUCAUUGGGCGUAAAGGGCGCGUAGGCGGCCACUGCAAGUCAGUUGUGAAAUCUCCGGGCUUAACCCGGAAAGGUCAACUGAUACUGCAGGGCUAGAGUGCAGAAGGGGCAACUGGAAUUCUCGGUGUAGCGGUGAAAUGCGUAGAUAUCGAGAGGAACACCUGCGGCGAAGGCGGGUUGCUGGGCUGACACUGACGCUGAGGCGCGAAAGCCAGGGGAGCGAACGGG
rnacentral:rRNA from 1 species